CUGUCCUCUAGGUAUCCUCUAGCUGUCCUCUAGGUGUCCUCUAGCUGUGCUCUAGGUAUCCUCUAGCUGUUCUCUAGCUACCCUCUACUCUAGGUGUUCUCUAGGUAUCCUCUAGCUGUCCUCUAGGUAUCCUUUAGCUGUCCUCUAGGUAUCCUCUAGCUGUCCUCUAGGUAUCCUCUAGGUAUCCUCUAGCUGUCCUCUAGCUGUCCUCUAGGUAUCCUCUAGCUGUUCUCUAGCUAUCCUCUACUCUAGGUGUUCUCUAGGUAUCCUUUAGGUGUCCUCUAGGUAUCCUCUAGCUGUCCUCUAGGUAUCCUCUAGCUGUCCUCUAGGUAUCCUCUAGCUGUGCUCUAGGUAUCCUCUAGGUGUCCUCUAGCUGUCCUCUAGGUAUCCUCUAGCUGUCCUCUAGGUAUCCUCUAGCUGUCCUCUAGGUAUCCUCUAGCUGUCCUCUAGGUAUCCUCUAGCUGUUCUCUAGCUAUCCUCUACUCUAGCUGUCCUCUAGGUAUCCUCUAGCUGUGCUCUAGGUAUCCUCUAGCUGUCCUCUAGGUAUCCUCUAGCUGUGCUCUAGGUAUCCUCUAGCUGUGCUCUAGGUGUCCUCUAGCUAUCCUCUAGGUACUUUCCCCAGUCCAGCUCUCUUUCAUCAGUGCAGAUUAAGGAAAGGAGUUGAAUCAGAAGAAGAGACAAAACGGGUGUGUCUCAAAUGUAACCCUUUUCACUUCAUAGUGCCCUACUUUUGACCCCGAACUUUAACCUUGUUCAAAAGUUGUGCACUAUGAAUAAGGUCCCAUUUGGAACGCAGACAAUACUGUAUGUCUAGGCUAUUGACACGCACCUAGAGGGGGAUUGACAUAUAGAUAAUUGAAGAGGUUCAUCCACAGGAGGAUAAAACAGAGUGGUACAGGAGGAUAAAACAGAGCGGUACAGGAGGAUAAAACAGAGCGGUACAGGAGGAUAAAACAGAGCGGUACAGGAGGAUAAAACAGAGCGGUACAGGGGGAUAAAACAGAGCGGUACAGGAGGAUAAAACAGAGCGGUACAGGAGGAUAAAACAGAGCGGUACAGGAGGAUAAAACAGAGCGGUACAGGAGGAUAAAACAGAGCGGUAGAGGAGGAUAAAACAGAGCAGUACAGGAGGAUAAAACAGAGCGGUACAGGAGGAUAAAACAGAGCAGUACAGGAGGAUAAAACAAGGGUACAGGAGGAUAAAACAGAGCUGUACAGGAGGAAAGAGAAGAACGGGGGAUUUUACACAGAAAGAAAGAGGAUGAAGAGAGGACAGGAAUUCAGUUUCGAAGGUUUCUCAUAACACAACUGAAAAGGGAAGAAGUUAUUUACUCCACUUCAAAUAUGAACCAGUUUCCUUCCAAUGCAUGAUCACAUGGUGUGUGGCCCAAUUGUCACACUAUUCACUAUAUAGUGCACUCAUUUUGAACAGGGCCCAUUUGGGCUCUGGUCAAAAGUAGUGUACUAUAUAGGGAAUGGGGUGCCAUUUCGGACUCACCCGUACUGUAUAGACACCUGAAACAUAUGUGCAGUUAAGUACGUCACAGGCACUUUUGACAGGGCACAUACAGGGCUCUGAUCAAAAGUAGUGCACUAUAGAGGGAAUAAGGUGCCAUCUGGGACACAGCCUUUGUAUUUCAACAGUAUCACUGUAUUGUAUUGUUAGUCAGCUGUGUUGUCAUGGUUCCUAGCUCAGGUGUUUUGAGUGGCCUACAUUUUGUUGUUUUUUGUAAGGAAUUUAUUCAAUCAAUGAUUUUGAAAAAAUGUAAUUAUA
rnacentral:lncRNA from 1 species